rnacentral:rRNA from 1 species
GACGAACGCUGGCGGCGUGCUUAACACAUGCAAGUCGAACGGAAAGGCCCUGCUUGUGUGGGGUGCUCGAGUGGCGAAGGGGGGAGUAACACGUGAGUAACCGGCCCUUGACUUUGGGAUAACUUCAGGAAACGGGGGCUAAUACAGGAUAGGAGAUCCUGCAGCAGGGUGGGGGUUGGAAAGUUUCGGCGGUUGGGGAUGGACUGGCGGCUUAUCAGCUUGUUGGUGGGGUAGUGGCUUACCAAGGAUUUGACGGGUAGCCGGCCUGAGAGGGUGGCCGGCCACAUUGGGACUGCGGGACGGCCCAGACUCCUACGUUAGGCAGCAGGGGGGAAUAUUACACAAUGGGCGGAAGCCUGAUGCAGCAGCGCCGCGUGCGUGAUGACGGCCUUCGGGUUGUAAACCGCUUUCGCCUGUGACGAAGCGUGAGUGACGGUAAUGGGUAAAGAAGCACCGGCUAACUACGUG